rnacentral:tRNA from 1 species
GCGGGAUGGAGCAGUUUGGUAGCUCGUUGGGUUCAUAUCCCAAAGGUCGUAGGUUCAAAUCCUACUCUCCGCA